rnacentral:rRNA from 1 species
GACGAACCGUGUGAACGUUAUUCGGAAUCACUGGGCUUAAAGGGCGCGUAGGCGGGCCAUCAAGUCAGAGGUGAAAGCCCCCGGCUCAACCGGGGAAGUGCCUUUGAUACUGAUGGUCUCGAGGGGGAUAGGGGCGUGCGGAACUUCCGGUGGAGCGGUGAAAUGCGUAGAUAUCGGAAGGAACACCGGUGGCGAAAGCGGCGCGCUGGAUCCCUUCUGACGCUGAGGCGCGAAAGCCAGGGGAGCGAACGGG